UACCACGCGAGUGGAUGCCAAUCCCAAACCUCUCUCAGUUCGGACUGGAGUCUGCAACCCGACUCCACGAAGCUGGAUUCGCUAGUAAUCGCGCAUCAGCCACGGCGCGGUGAAUACGUUCCCGGGCCUUGUACACACCGCCCGUCAAGCCAUGGGAGCCGGGGGUACCUGAAGUGCGUAACCGCGAGGAGCGCCCUAGGGUAAAACUGGUGACUGGGGCUAAGUCGUAACAAGGUAAC
rnacentral:rRNA from 1 species